rnacentral:tRNA from 1 species
UCCCUGGCAGUCCAAUUGUUAGGAUUUGCACUUUUACUGCUGAGGGCCCAAGUUCAAUCCCUGGUCAGGGAA